GACGAACGCUGGCGGCGUGCUUAACACAUGCAAGUCGAGCGGUAAGGCCCUUUCGGGGGUACACGAGCGGCGAACGGGUGAGUAACACGUGGGUGACCUGCCCUCAGCUCUGGGAUAAGCCUGGGAAACCGGGUCUAAUACCGGAUAUGACUCCAUGACGCAUGUUGUGGGGUGAAAGCCUUGUGCGGCUGAGGAUGGGCCCGCGGCCCAUCAGCUUGUUGGUGGGGUGAUGGCCUACCAAGGCGACGACGGGUAGCCGGCCUGAGAGGGCGACCGGCCACACUGGGACUGAGACACGGCCCAGACUCCUACGGGAGGCAGCAGUGGGGAAUCUUGCGCAAUGGGCGAAAGCCUGACGCAGCGACGCCGCGUGAGGGAUGACGGCCU
rnacentral:rRNA from 1 species